CAGCCGUAAACUAUGCUCGCUAGGUGUCAGGCAUGGCGCGACCGUGUCUGGUGCCGCAGGGAAGCCGUGAAGCGAGCCACCUGGGAAGUACGGCCGCAAGGCUGAAACUUAAGGAAUUGGGCGGGGGAGCACAACAACGGGUGGAGCCUGCGGUUUAAUUGGACUCAACGCCGGACAACUCACCGGGGACGACAGCAAUAUGUAGGCCAGGCUGAAGACCUUGCCUGAAUCGCUGAGAGGAGGUGCAUGGCGUAGACGUCU
rnacentral:rRNA from 1 species